UACGAAGGGGGCUAGCGUUGUUCGGAUUUACUGGGCGUAAAGCGCACGUAGGCGGAUCUUUAAGUCAGGGGUGAAAUCCCGGGGCUCAACCUCGGAACUGCCUUUGAUACUGGGGGUCUCGAGUCCGGGAGAGGUGAGUGGAACUGCGAGUGUAGAGGUGAAAUUCGUAGAUAUUCGCAAGAACACCAGUGGCGAAGGCGGCUCACUGGCCCGGAACUGACGCUGAGGUGCGAAAGCCAGGGGAGCAAACGGG
rnacentral:rRNA from 1 species